UCCUGGGUGGCUCAGUCGGUUGAGCGUCUGACUUUGGCUCAGGUCAUGUCUCACAGUUUGUGGGUUCGAGCCCCGCAUCAGGCU
rnacentral:tRNA from 1 species